rnacentral:lncRNA from 1 species
GACAAAACGGAGUUUGCUCUUUUGGGGGAUCGCAACUCGACCCACUUAGACGCUGAAAUCGCACCUUCUGGGGACAGCCCACAUGAGUUUAUGAGGUAAUUGACUGUGAAAUCGUGGUGGGUUUCUGAGCUCUCUGAGGUGAAGUGUCUGCAGAGUAGCAGAUUUUGAAGAGGAAAAUGUGAGGGUUUUACAUCUCCAACGACAAAUCGUUUAAAUGUGGAAGCAACUACGCAGGAAGAUGGAAAAUAACACAAUCUGAGGGUAACGACUUUCAAUUUGGAAAGCAAUACCAUCGUUUCAGUCAAUAUUAGAUGAUCAAUACCAUCGUUUCAGUCUUCCGCUCGCUGGGUUUUUGGUUUUAGCAUAUUUCAAUUUCAUUUCUUUUCCUUUGGAGUUUAAUAGAGAUUAGCUUUUAGUAGACUCGGCACAAUCUGACAUGACACCAAAAUGACAUGAAAAUAACAAGUUUCGGAUCAACAUGAUAAUUUAUCGGGUUAUUAUCAAGUGACUCGUUAAUAAUGGGUAUACACGAAGGUAACAUGUGAGUAACCCGUUUCGACCCGUUAAGAAAAAAUUUAUUUUGAUAAUUUUAAAAUUUAAUUACUAAAAGAUUUAUUAUAAAAUACAAUAACCAUAUUAAUAUAUACAAGAUAUUCUAUAUUAAAUAUAUAGUUUUGUAUUAUUAUUCUAUAUAAGUUUAAAAAAAAAAGUUUUAGUCAUUAUUUAUUUUUAUUAUGAGAGUUUCUUAUUAUCAUUACCAAGAUAAAUUUUACUUAACAUGUUGUUGUCCAAAAUUAAAAUAAACUAAUAUAGUAUUUGUAUAGGCAAGAACUAAGAAGACAUACAUACAAUACAAGUAUGAAAAAUGUGAAAGAAUAUAUAAACACUCGUGAUUCAUCAUUAUUCUUUCACGAGUAAAUAAUGGUUACACUUACAUUAUCGUUUAGAUUUUUAAAUCCUCCAAACCUUCGUGAAUAAUAUUUUUUAUUUGAGGGAAAAAUUAAUAAAAUUAAUAAUAAUUAUUGUAUAAGUGUAAAAAAUGUAAAAACAAAAUAUACAAUCACUUAUAGUGACAAACUUUACAAUUUUCAUGAAGGGGUCAACUUCGAAAUCCAACACUAUAAUUCAUAAACCUUAAAUUUAUAUUUAACCGUUGAUUGUCAUUUGUGCUUUAUUCUUCUUACUGAAUUUCAUUUUUUUAACUUUCUUUUUUGAAAACAUGAUCAUCUGGCAGAUGUACAAAGAUGAACGAUUCAGAUCUUUGAUAUCACGUUUCGAUAUUUACGGUUAAUUGAAAUAUGAGUCGAUGUCAUAUAGUUUGUAGAAACUUUAUAAACAUCAAGCAAUAUUUUCACUAACUGUAAAACUCUAAAUAUAAUAUCAACGAUCCAAACCGUUCAUCUUCAUGCAUCCUCUAAUAGAUCAAGUUUUCAAAAAAGAAAAUCUGAAAAAACAAAAUUUGAUGAGAACAAUGAAGGGUAAAUGUAAACAACAAUCAAUGGUUAAAUUUUGAUCUAUGAUUUAUAUGAUUAUAGUGGCGAAUUUCAAAGUUAAGCUUUUCAUGAAAGUUGUAAAGCUUGUCAUUACAAACGUUUAUAUAUAUAUAUAUAUAUAUAUAUUUAUAUUUUUAUAUUUUUUUACACUUCUACAUUAAUUAAAAAAACUAUUAAAGACUUUAGGUAAGUGAAAAUAUACUUAAAAGAAAAUUGCGUUUUUAUGUUUUGGAUGUGAUAAUAUGGUAUGUGUAUACUUAUUUAGUAUUAUGUUUUUCAUUUGAUUAUUUAUUGGUUUAAAAUAUAUUUUUCUUAACGGGUAACGGAUUGGGUCAUAUUAGCUGUUAAUAUUAUUGGGUUGGGUCAUUUUACCCGUUUAUUUUAACAGGUGUUACACGACACGAUCCGUUAAGAUAUCAGGCAUGACACAAAAACGACACGAACACAGAAAACAUGACACAAAUGCCAUGUCUAGCUUUUAGGUGUGGAAUUUAUUUAAUUAUUAUUUCUAACUAUUUGUUAUUAUAUAUAUAUAUAUAAUAAUUGAAAAAAGUUGUGCUUAUGUCUCUUUAUGCGGGUACAAUCUACACCGAUUCAUUUUUCUAUAACAAUUAACUAUUUAGCCUACUAAAACUAUUGUUCUACUAAUAAAAAAGUUGGUCAUGUAUUGCAUAUGAUUCAUGACACGCCCGACCCUGAUAUCCUUCAAAUACCAAGGCAGGCACGUGCUGGCAGACACCCGAAGGUGCCGAAGUCAUAUUAGAAUGCAUGAGAACUAGAAAGAAAUAACUAACAUAAAUACAACUUGUAAAUUUAACUAUAAUGAAUAUGCAAUUGUGGAACGUGUUCAGAGUAUACAACUAAUCCGAGACAUUAAAAAGAAUAAUAUAAAAUUGAAUGAAUAAAAUGAUGGGUCCUACACCGAGAGGACUCGAAGAUGUCGAUGUGGGAGUGCCUUGAUGCCUAGAUUGUACGCCUCGAUUCUAAGUGCUGAGGGGGCGCAAAACAAAAUAUGAGUGGACCAAGUUUAUAUAUAAGUAAUACUAAAAUAGUUAUUGAACAACGUAUCAUCCCCAAAGUUUAUAAAACUCAAUAGCGUAGUAUGUAAUAGGUUUUCCGAAAACCCUAUCAUGCCAUAAAACCUAAUAAACAAAUAUCAUAUAUAGUGUGCUUAAUAGUAGUAGCACAAAGGUAUAUAUAUAUAUAUAUAUAUAUAUAUAUAUAUAUAUAUCUUCAUUUUCCCGAAGGCCCUACAUCUCCCGCCUAUAGGCAAUAUAUAAAUAUCUUCUAACUGAAGCCAUAUAUAAGUAUAUUUCAGCCGAAACCACUAACCUAUGCCUGACCGAAGCCAUUAUAAAUAUCUACCGCCCGUAGGCACUACAUCUCCUGCUCGAAGGCAUAUAGAACUCUUUCAACCGAAGCCACCUACACACACCCUGCCGAAGCGAAAAUAAGUAUCAUUCAUCCAUAGGCAGUAUCAUUCACCCUUAAGCGGUUUCAUUCACCCGUAGGCAGAACGUAUGAGUAACCACUAAAUAAGCACAUAAAAACAUUAACAUAAUAUUUCUAAUAUAUAUAUAUAUAUAUAUAUAUAUAUAUAUAUCUCCAACGGAGCUCAGUAGCUAAAAUGUCAUAUCAUAAAUAUGUUCAAAGUAUAUAAUCAUAAAUCAUAUGUACUUCGAAGAACGUAAAGUUGAUAAAGCAUGAUAUAAACGUAACCCACAAAUCAUGCUUUUCAUGUAUGCAUUUCUAAUAGUAAAAAUAUGCAUUUUAGAAGGGGUCCACUCACAGGUACUUUGCCGUCGAAAAGUCAUGCAAACUAGAGAGGACAUAAACUUCAUAAACAAUUGCACCUAAGCACAAAAAGGUACCAAUUAAUAAAACUCUAUCAUAACGAUUGAAUUUGAGGAAACGGAUGUCAGAAACGGGUUCAAGACGUUGAAAAACAUAAGGGGAAACCUCGGGUACAUCCACACGCCGCUGCACACGCCGAUUUAGAUGGCUGGAAAGUUGGACGGAAAAGUUGCCAGUGCCACAGUGGUCGCCACCGUACACGGCGGCGAAGCAUAGUACCUUUGGUGGAAACACGUGUGCUCCACACACCGGCUAAGGUAGACUCCCACGCGUGCCUAUGCGCGAACCCAUGCGCCAACUGGGUUCUCGGUUUGGGAUUGUUCAGUUGGGUUGGGCCGAGGGUUUUGGGCUUGGGAAAUUGGGUCUGGGCCUAGAUUAUGGGUUGGGUUCAGUAGGUUAUAAAUUAGGAUUUAGGCUUGGUAGCCUAGCCCAAGGAUCUGGGUUAGGCUGGAGGGUUUGGGCUUGGCCUAGUUGGCUGAAACUCUAGGUUGGGCCGGGUAGCUUGGCCCAAGGAUUGGACCAGGUUAGUGUUUUCGAGUCGGGCUUGACCUGACUCUAGGCCGGGUUGGCCGUUUCGAGGAAGAAAAAGGUCGGAGCUAUCCUAGCUCCGUUCAACCCCAAAACCUAACUAAAACCCAUCAUACAAUAUACCAAAUUGAAGCCCAAGGAACAAGGAAGAGAUUUGUACCAAUUUCAAGACUUGAGGUGGCCAGAGUUAGCUGGAAAACGGUCUAAAACCCACGGGUUUUCGUCGGAAUCUAGGGAAGUAUCCCCGAGUCGGUUUCUCGAUGUUUUAACAUCCACAAUACAUUAAAAAAGAUCAGAAAUGAAAUAUAAGGAUGAAAAAGGGAAGGUUUAAUGUGUUUUUCGUAGCUCACCUAUGUUGGAGGUGUUGGAAACGCACCGAGUUUCCUUCUUGAACAGUGGCAUCUGCCACGAUCGAGUUCCCAGGUUCUUUGUCCGGGGUUCAUGGUGACAAGGUCUAAGUGUGAGGUAGGGGCCCCGCCAAGGAUAUUUUGAUCUUCCCAUGGCACCAUCUCAAUGCUUGUCGAGGGAAAAGGGAGAGAAGUGAGAAUGAUUGAGGGAGAGAGGUGAGAUAGAGAACUUUACGGGGAGAGAAGAGAGAAGAGAUAGAGAGAACUGUGAGGGAAGAAAGAUGAGGGAUUUGGGCUGAGGGACAAAAUCAAGGGUGGGCCCCCUUGGGCACACCAAUUAAGACCAAAAGCAUAAUUUCAAAAAUAAACAUCCCAAAAGCAACAAAACAAAAUACCUUUCCUACAUGAAAUGACCAAAUUACCCUUGUUCCAAAAUCCAUCAGGACGAGUUGUUACAAUUCAAACCCAAUUUCUCUUCUUGGAGUUAUAAUCCUAUAAAAUUGGAAUCAAACUCAACUUUUCAGCCAAUAGUGGAUUGCUUAAGGAUUUCAUGAUCGUCCACUGUUAGGCUUGAUUUCAAUGGUACAAAUUAAAUAACAUGAAAAGCACAUCCAUUUCUUCACCUUUGAUAUCAAAUCCAAAAGCGAUGGCUCGUUCAUUAACGCUUGAAACACAAUUUUUCGUUUUGCAGAUACAAAAACGUGUAAAAAAAAUGUUUGACAUACUGUUUUGUAAAAAUUAACUCAAAACAAUAUUUAGCUUAAGUACUGUAUAACAUUAACUUGGUGUUUCCUCUGUCUUUUAAGAAUUAUUUUCAAAAUAAUAGAACGUAAAAUAUUCAUUAUAAACAAUGUUAGAGUUUAAUAAAUAAAUAAAAUUAUGUAUGCCACCACUACCGCCACCACUACCACCACCACACAACCUUCUCCACCAUCCCACAAUCAUCACCACCACCACGACCAUCUUUGACACCACCAUCAUUGCCACCACCAUAUCCUCCACUGGCAUCACCAUGCCACACAACUCCACCGUCUCACCAUCACCACAAUCAACAAUAACACCACCGUCUUGCAUUGACUGUCGCCACCAUCAUUGCCACCACUACUAUAUUUUACAUCGCCAUCACCAGCCACCACGCUCUUCAGACUGAAGAGCGUUACCAUGUUAGAUGUCGAUGACGCUCAGUUUCGAAUGGAAAUGGAGGUCUUCAGAAAACGGAGCUGAAAACAUGAGCUCAAAUGGCAACUGGAAAAAGGUAGUACUAGCGCAGAUGAAAGUUGCAGGCGGGCAGACAUGGGCAAUUCGGAUUAAUCGGUUUUAUAUUGAAAUUGCGGCUUUGAACCAAUUAUAAAAUGAAACUUUUUUCUAUUUAUUUAUUUGGCUUUAGUUCGGUUCAGUUUCAACGGUUCUAAUUUCAGUUAGUCUCUUACUUGUAGGUCUAUACAAAAUUGACGUUAAUACAAGUAUUCACAUUCAUACAAACUCAAAAGUUCAAAACCUAGUCAUUUGCAGACUAAAUGCUUUAUGCAAUUUAAAAGAAAGUUAUGAUGAUCACCAUACUAAAAUUCAACUUGAAACAAUGUUCAACAUCAAGUUGUCUUAUGACAUUACUUUAACCAAUCCAAUUGAAAAUGUUAAGUUUACUAUACUAAAAUUAAUGUUCAAACAAAGUUCAAAGUCAGAAUGCCUAAUGGCAUUAGCACAACAUGAAAAAAAUAAAUUGUUCAUGCAAUUCAACAAAAAAAAAUUUGAUGUUUAAAGUCACUACUUUGAAAUUUUGAUUCGUUCAAAACAUUCGUGCUCACUUUUUGUUUUGAACACUUACUAUUCAAUGGUUUAUGGGGGCUUUGAGCUUGCAAACAAGCUCGAGAGGCAUUUAAGCUUAAGAAUACGAUACUUGAGAAAACCUUGGACCUUGAGAAAGUGAAAUCGAUAAAUGAAAAGUCAUUAAACCUUGUGAAUUAGAAGCUUAAGAUUGCUUUGGAGUUUGUUGUGGUUGUGUAUUAUGACUAAGAUAGACGAUGCUUGUGCAUUAACAUUCAUUAGAGUGGCUAUGAUAGGAAUCUAAUAUGUAUCUUAGUAAUUAACGGUUGUUAUACAGCAAUUGUGAUUGUGCCAAAUGUCAUCAUUUGAAUGAUUAAGUUGUAAUACUUGUAAUAAGGUUGUUAGUGGUAGUUGUAAUUGGAUAACAGUAGUUAGAAAAGUUGUUGUAUAGCUUGGUUUGUAAGUAACAGAAAGGUUGUUAUGAAAAUAGUAUUGAAAUUCAUUUGUCAUUCUCUCUUGACAAGUUCGCUCAUGGCUUCUCUGAGUUAUGGUUUGAUCGAUGAUCUAUCAUUGGUAUCGGGUCAGUCUGGAAGUGCGUCAAGAUUCAUCAGACGCCCGAAAUGUUCGACGCCAUGGAAGUGCGUCAAGAUUCAUCAGAUGCCCGAAAUGAGAAACUUCAUCGCGAUUUUAUGGAUAAAUGUGAAAUGGGUUUUUCGAGCGAUUCAUCGGAUGCAACUCAAUCUGAUCUCAAUCUAUGUGAAGAUUCAAGACCCCAACAAUUCAACCGCCAUGAUUCAGGGUUACAACCAAGACCUUUUCUAGUUAAACUUGAUUUUCCUCGCUUUCAGGAAUGGGAUGAUCCUUGUGGGUGGAUUUACAAGGCGAAGCAUUAUUUUGAUUGCUUUGAUAUUCCGACCGACAAGAAAGUUCCUAUGGCUUCCUUUCAUAUGGAGAAUGAGGCACUUCAAUGGUUACAAUGGGUUAAUUGUGUAAAGAAUUAUCCUAAAUGGGAAGAUUUUACAAAGAUUUUUUUGUAGGGAAUUUGGUUCAUCUGACCUUACAGACUGCAUUGAAAAUUUGGUGAAACUUCGCCAAUCUAGGUUGCUCAGAGAUUACAUCAUGGAAUUUUGACGAUUAUCAAAUCGUACUGUAGAAAUCACCCAUGGACUCAUGAAAAGUUGUUUCAUUGGAGGAUUGAAACCAGAAAUUUGUCAUGAUGUCAAGAUUUUGAGACCAUUUGAUGUUCAAGCCUACACAAUUAUCUGAUGUCACCAACACGCCAAAGACUGAGCAUUCUUCAAGAAAUGAGAUUUUUAGGCGAUUAACAGUAGCAAAAAUUGAGUUUUGAAGGAAAAACAUGCUAUGUUUUAACUGUGAUGAAAUUUUUCGAGAGAACAUGUUUGUGCUAGUCCAAAACAACAAGUGUUACUCAUGGAUAUGUACGACAAUUGAGACCUUAUUGAACAUCAUUCUGAUGACAAUGAAGAGCUUGAGGUAACUGCUUGUGCAGUUUAUGGGAUGCCUACUCCAAAAUCCAUUAAAACAAUGAAAAUCAAAAAGUGCUCAAUUGUCCUGCUAUUUUUCUGGUAGAUUUAAGAAGCUCACAUAAUUUCAUUGAUAUUUCACUAGUCAAACAAUUAAAAGGUCAUCCAGAUACCACACACCCAUUCACUGUUAAGAUUGCAAAUGGGGGAUCCCUCACUAGUAUUGGAUGUUUAGCUCAGGUUUUUAUUAGAAUACAGAAUUAUGCAACUGUGCUUGAUUUCUAUGCUCUUCCCUUGGGUGGAUGUGAUAUUGUUUCGGGCAUACAAUGGUUAAGAACAUUGGGACUAGAGCUAUGAGACUUUGACAAGAUGAUUAUGAAGUUUGUAGUUAGCAAUACCACCUUUUCCAUAUCAAGUCUUCAAUCCCAAGAAUCUCAAUCCAUUUCUUCCUUGCAAAUGGAUAAGUUACUCAACUGUGAACACUGCCUAGGAGCUGCUUUAUUUGUUUUGCAAGUUGGUGCAUAAAACACAACUCUAUCCACUCAUUCUCAGUUGAAUUCUCACCAAGACAAUGAUCUGCAAAUCAUGUUAGCAAAUUAUCAACCUAUUUUUCAAACCUCAUCUGGAUUACCUCCAUCCAGAUCCCAUGAUCACAGGAUACCAUUGCUAGAAAGAUGCAAACCUCCUAGUGCUAGACCUUAUAAAUAUGGUCCAUUUCCGAAAACAGAAUUAGAGAAUUGUGUUAAGGAGCUACUAGAAUCAGGUUUCAUCACGCCAAGCCAUAGCCCUUUCUCUUCUCCAGUGUUCUUAGUAAAGAAAAAUGAGGGUACUUUGAGGAUGUGCAUGGAUUAUAAGGCACUUAAUCUACUCACAAUCAAAGACAGGUACUCUAUACCAUUGAUUGAUGAGUUAUUGUAUGGGCUUUUUGGUGCAAAAUAUUUUUCAAAAUUGGAUCUUAGGUCUAGUUAUCAUCAAAUUCGUAUGCACCCCAAAAACAUUGAAAAAAAACCGCUUUUAGAACUCAUGAGAGGCAUUACGAGUUUCUAGUUAUGCCUUUUGGCCUAACAAAUGCCCAUGCAUCUUUCCAGAGCCUAAUGAAUGAGAUAUUUAGGCCUUAUUUGAGGAAAUUCAUCUUAGUUUUCUUUGAUGAUAUUCUAAUAUAUAGUGCCUCUUGGGAAUUGCACUUGCAACACUUGAGUACUGCCCUCAGUUUACUCCAAGAUCAUCACUUGUUUGUGAAACUAUCUAAGUGUGCUUUUGGGAAAACACAAAUUGAAUACUUAGGCCAUAUUGUUUUGCAAAAUGGAGUAGCUGAUGACCCUUCAAAACUGAAAGCUAUUGCAUAUUGGUCUCUACCUACUUCUGUGAAAGCUUUAAGGGUGUUUUUAGGCUUAACUGGAUAUUAUAGGAAAUUCAUUCCUCAAUUUGGAAGAAUCAGUGGGCCUUUGACUUAACUCACUAAGAAGGAUGGAUUUAAAUGAAAUUAUAAAGCUAUUGAUGCAUUUCAAGAAUUGAAAAAUGCAAUGUUGUCUCCUCAGGUUUUAACACUACCAGAUUUUUCAAAACCAUUUGUUAUUCAAAGUGAUGCUUCAGGCACUGAGAUAGGGGCAAUUCUGCAGCAAUGGGGUAUACCUAUUGCAUUCACUAGUCAGGCUCUAGGACCAAAGAAUCAAGCACCAUCUACAUAUGAAAGAGAAAUGUUGGCUGUGAUUCAUGCAGUUAAAAAGUGGCAGUCUUAUUUACUUAGGAACCAUUUCAUUAUAAGGAUAGACCACCACAGCCUCAAAUAUUUUCUUCAAAAUCAAGCUAAUUCUCAUUUCCAGCAAAAAUAGGUUUCCAAGUAACUUAGAUUUGAUUAUGAAAUCCAGUACAGAAAAGGCAAUGACAAUAAAGCAGCUGAUAUAUUAUCUAGAAUGUUCAAUUCUUAGGGUACUUCAGCUAUUAGUUCAAGUAUUGAAAUUGCUAUUGCUUUAAGAAUUGUUGUUGGUAUUGAUCAAGGUAAUGUUGCUGCAGUUUCAUUGGAAUGCGCAUAUAUGGACAGUGAAUUACUUGCAUUAUUAUACCCUUAUAUGUCUUGGCUUGAUGAUUUACGGAGGCAUGUAGAAAAUGAUGAUUGGAUUUUAAAAAAGUCUCGGGCUAUUUUACAAACACCUUAUGAUUUUGCUCCACUAAAUUUGCUUAAAUAUCAGAUUGAUAAUUGUUUUUUGAAGUAUAAGAAUAGGAUUGUUAUCAGUCCUACAAGUCAGUGGAGAACAAAGAUAUUGGAAGAACACCAUUGUACACCUUCUGCAGGCCAUAAAGGUUUCCUCAUGACUUAUAAAAGGAUAUUAUAUCCUUUAAUUAGGAAGGUAUGAAGAACAAUAUCAAAGAAAUGGUUGCUGGAUGUGAUAUUUGUCAGAAGAAUAAAUAUGAAACACUUGCCCCUGCUGGACUUCUAAAUCCAUUAUUUAUUCCUCAGAGAAUUUGGUCUAAUAUAACUAUGGGUUUUAUCACUGGACUUCCUCCCUGCAAGGGUAAAUCAGCACAUUCAAUGGCCCAAGUCUUUACUGACCAAGUGUUUAAAUCACAUGGAAUGCCCACUUUCAUUGUAUAUGAUAGGGAUCCAAUCCUCAUCAGCUCAGUUUGGAAGGAAUUCUUUAAAAUCCAGGUUCUAAGCUAUGUCUCAAUGCAGGUUUCCAUCCCCAAACUGAUGGAGAAACAGAAGUUCUAAAUAGAUGUCUGGAAACGUAUUUGAGGUGUUUUUGUAGCUGGCAGCCCAAACAAUGGUUAAAAUGGCUCCCUUGGGUAGAAUGGAGCUACAACACCUCAUACCAUUUUGCAAUUAAAAUGACCCACCUUAUGAAGUGGUGUAUGGACAGUUACCACCAUAUGUCCCACUCUAUGAAAUUGGCAUAACAAGGGUUGAUAUGGUGGAUCAAUGUCUGAAAGACAAGACUAGAAUUUUAUCUCUCUUAAAGACCAACUUAGCAGUUGCUCAAGAAAGGAUGACAACUCAUGUCACGCCCCGAUCCUGACCUACAUUCAGGAUUGACAUGUGAUGUCACCAAGUAACCAUAUACCCAAUAGAUCCUACCUCCAGGAUAUGUACGAAGCAUAACUCAAGAAUCGAAUCGCAUAAUAAUUUUUCGUAUACUUUAUGGUCGCAUCUAAGCUCCUCGUUAGACUGCAUACGUACCCUCAAUAGGGAUCAAGUCAUUCGUAGUUCACCUUCACCACAACUCGACAUAUAUCAUAGUCCGUUCAAGCCGAAAGGCAUAACAUUCCUCAAUCAAACAUUUGGACUUGACAAGCAUGAAUUAUUCGAUUCAAGUUACAUAACAACCCACAUGACAAUCAAGGUUUCUUUUUCAUCCAUCAUAUAAAUCAUUAUGUUUCAACAUAAAAUCGCAAUUUAUAUCAUGUAAUAUAUCAAAGAAUCAACAAAGCACAAUAGUAUCCUCUAGUUGCAUUGAUCACUGAUCUAAUUGUAUUAAUAACAAUCAUAUUCAACAUCAUUCCACAAUCACCUCAAGUAAUAUAUUCCAUGAAUCAAGGAAUUCUUCAUAAUUCCCUGCAUGGAUUCCAAGUAAUAACUUGAUAAUUCUAAUUUAUAUUCACAAGGUCUAUUGUGGGUAAUUCUCAUUCACUCGAAUCCAGGGUUCUAGCCUAACUUAUGGAAAUGAGCAAGAGUAUGGAUUCCAGACCACUCAACGGAAUCCAAACCAGGAUACGAUUCGGACCACUCAACAGAAUCUAAACUAAAUUAUGAUUGCCUAUCGAAAUGUACCAAGUGCAACUAAUCAUCAUCACCUCUAAAAUGCGUAUGGUUACCAAGCAGAACCAUAGGGAUAAUCUCUUCGUGCAGGUAGUGAUCACCUAUCGUGGAUAUACCAAGCAUGAUCACCCCUGAAUACAUAUGGUCCCCCAUCGCGGAUAUACCAAGCAGAACCAUAUGAAUAAUCUAAUAACAUAGGCAGUGAUCACCCGUCACGGAUAUACCAAGCAUGAUUACCCCUAACAGUCCCCCAUCGUGGAUAUACCAAGCAAGACUGUAUUCUGUAGCUCUAGGUAGUGAUCACCCAUCGCGGAUAUACCAAGCAUGAUCACUCCUAGAAUGCGUAUGGUCCCCCAUCGUGGAUAUACCAAGCAGGACCAUAAGCAUAGUCGAAUCGUGCAGGCGGUGAUCACCCAUCGCCGAUAUACCAAGCAUGAUCACCCCUGAAGUACGUAUGGUCCCCCAUUGCAGAUAUACCAAGCAGGACCAUCCAUGUACCAUUGGUACAUGGUGCAAUAAAUUCAACACACCACCUACCCACAACUCAACCCCUAUGAGUUUCAACGUAGUCACCUACACCAUCAACUUCUCAUGGCCACCAACUAAUAUGUCACACAAGCAUAUAAGUUCUACAUAAUACAACCAAUAAGAUUCUAGGAUCACAUUGUCAUAACAUUUAUCAUACUUAUCAUUCACAUUAUUAAGAAGAUAAAUAAGCACAUAUAUAUCACAACAUGACGUUCCAUACACAUAAACCGAUGUAUAUAUUAUUGGGAUAACUCACUAGCCAAUAUAGAACCACUAAGCCUUACAUAGUCUCUAGUAAUACUGAUUCUGUAAUCUUGCCACUCAAAUAAUAUCACUCAAAUAGUAGUAAAGAAGAUUAGAAAGGAAUCUGGAAAAGAAGAUAGGUAUGGCAAAACAGUACUCUGCUUCUUCACAAAAUCUGCAGAAAAAGAGCACUAUUAGACCAAGUUUAGACUCCAUUUGGAACAUUCAAAACUAAACCAAAUCGUGUAAUAUUAUAUGGAUUUUGAAGCUUGUGCUCUUUACUUUAAAAACAUAUGAAGUUUGUAGUAAACGGAGCUCUAAUUGGAAGUUAUGCCAAAAAGAAAAAUGAAGUCUUGAAACUGGAAACCCAGUUUUCUAUUGCUGUUGGCAGCUCGCGACCCAAGUUUAAAUAAGGUUUUGAUCAACCAAAACUCAACGGAAUUGAGUGAAAACAAUUAGGUUACGAUCAUGAACAUAUUUACUUUCAACACACUAUUUUUUUCCAAAGGAGCACAUAUAGACCUAGAAAUUAAGAGCCAAAGAAGGCUACUCGAAACUUGAGUUUUCUUUGCAAAGAAAUCAAUUUUCUGCAGCUUAGGUAACAACCCACCUCCAAUUCAUAUAACAAAUCCAAAAUAAUUCCAGGUAGUCCAGAAGUCAUGUAUACAACAUCCGAAACUAACAUGACUCAAAAUUAACAAGAAAUUGACCUUUUGAACUAGACCCUUGAUCAAGAAAUUUGGUCUACACAUCCAAUCCGAAUUACCCAACUCUAAUUCAUGUUCAGAUUGGUUCAUUGAAUGAUAGAAAACCCUAAAUAAAACUAAGAACUCCAAUAUACAUCAUGGCAGUUUCAAUUCAACUUAAGGAAAUUAAAUUCAAAAUCAAGAUAAUCAAGAUAAUCAAGGAACAAGGAAUUUACCCUUCAAAUCUCUGAAUCCUUCCUUCACAAUCACGUUCUCUAACUAUCAAUUUCUCUGCCCUUUUUCUUUUAUGAUGUUUUGCCCCUUCUCUGCAGCCCCUUCAACCCCUUUUAUAGUUACUAUAAUCCUACUCAAUUCGAUCACAAGAUUUCCUCACCUCUCUUCGAUUUUUGUCUGAAGAAAGAAGAAUUUCUUCCAAAAGCUAUGGAAGAGCUACUUCCUCCCCAUUUCUUCUUUUUCCCUCGCAGAGAACGGAAUGAAAGAACGUUCCUAUCCUUUCCCCCCCCCCCCCCCAUCGUCUCCGUCCAUCUCCUCCCUUCUCUUCUUUUCUUUUUAUCUCAACCACGCACAUGGCAUUAUCUCAGUGCUCAAAAAAAAUCUGGAGCCUUCUUGAUUGAGGAAAAAUUACCGAAAUAUCAUUUAACUUUAAACGUUAAUAACUCAUUCGUUAUAGCUCCGUUUCACGAAUAGUUUGUGCCCACGCGUUCGUGAGAUCGAGCUCUAUUCGAAAAUAUAAAUUGUGACAUCGAACGAUCUACAUAUUUUAAAUAAUUAGUUUCAAAACUUCACUCUUUGUAACUAGUUUAAUCAAAAUAUAGAUUCAAAUAAAUUAAUAUAAAUUCCCAAAAAAAUAAAAAUCUCAAUAAUACAAUUACGUAGAUUAUAAUAGUGAAAUCCAGGAACGAGAUUUCACAACUCAAGCAAACAAGCAUAGAACUGAGAGAUCAUUUACAGUUGGUGAUUUUGUUUAUCUCAUAUUGGUUCCCUACCAACAUAAGUCAUUAGCUUUGCAUCCUUUCCAUAAAUUACAUCCUCAAUUCUAUGGUCCCUUUGAGAUUCUUGCUCGAGUUGGACUUGUGGCAUACAAAUUGAAGCUACCAAGUCACUCCACGAUCCAUCUAGUUUUUCAUGUUUCAUGUCUCAAAAAGAAGUUGGGGACUGCAGUCACUACUACUAUUCCCUUACCAAUAGUUCAAGAUGUUGGCUUAAUUCAAGAUGAACCAGAACCAUCAGCUAUUUUGGACCGAAGAGUGAUUCAGAACAGGCCAACUUCAGUUACAAAAGUGUUGGUGCAUUGGAAAAAUCAUCAUUCUACAAAUGCAUCUUGGGAAAUCUGGAUACCCUACGGUUGAAAUUUCCUGAUUUUCAGCCUCGAGGACAAGGCUAAUUUCAAAGGGAGGAGUAGAUGAUAGGAAUCUGAUAGGUAUCUUAAUAGUUAAGGGUUGUUAUAUAGCAAUUGUGAUUGUGCCAAAUGUCAUCAUAUGAAUGAUUGAGCUGUAAUACUUGUAAUAAGGUUGUUACUAGUAGUUGUAAUUGGAUAAAAGUAAUUAGAAAAGUCGCUAUAUAGCUUGGUUUGUAAGUAACAGAAAGGUUGUUAUGAAAAUAGUAUUGAAAUUCAUUUGUCAUUCUCUCUCUACAAGUUCUCUCAUGGCUUCUCUGAGUUAAGGUUUGACAUGGGAUCUAUGAGGCUAUGUAUUUGUAUUUCACAAUGUACAAGAGAUUUACAUAAUACAAUGAAGAUUUCUAGAGCUUUAGAAUCAAAGUAAAUGGAUGAUGAAAGAGGAGUGGUCUUGCAAUUACACCAAUCUUUGACGAACAUGAUUCCAGAAUACAGUUCAUCACAUAUAUUUCAAUUAGUUUAGAUAUCCAAAGCUCAGAAAUAAACAUAUAAACAUAUGCGUAUUCAUAUAUUUGAACAGGCUCCGCCGAGCAUCCACGCCUCCAUCUCUAAGGGAACAAACAAAAGUAACACACUUUACUCCUCAGGAAAUGUUCAAUUUUUGCAUUUUCUUAGCAAUACGAUUGUACAAGAAAGUCUUGAUUGGUGGAGUAUCAAUUGUUCUCGCGGAGGAGGAAAGUCUUCAUUUUCACCUAAACGUGACGUUAUUUCACCAUACAACCGUCAUAAUCGUAACUCUAUGUUCUUUGUCAUUGUCUAAAGAUAAUCUCUAGAAAAAUUCAUUCGACUUGAAUACCAUUUAACCAUUCAAGAACGUCAAACAAAUUGACGAUUAUGACAUCCUCACGGAGAAAGUUAAAAACAAAAAUUAUUAUAAGUUUUUAUUUUCAAGAUUUUGUUUUCAUUCACUCUUCUUAUUUCUAUUCCUCCCUCACCACCCUUGUUUUCCCCGUCUUCUCCUUUAUACUUCCUCCAUAUCUAAAGCACAAAAAGAUGAAAACUAAAAACAUAAAACCAAAUGGUUAUCAAACGUACACUAACUACGUGUUUAAACCUACCAAUGUCCCUCCCUCCCACCACCCUUCCUCCAAUUUACACCAUGAAAGCACAAUGAUCGGCUUCAGAUUCGAUCACAUACGAUUUAGUAUCGGAUAAUUGCAGACAGAAAUUGGAUUCAUUUAUCCACACAGAUUGAGAUAUCAAUUCCAAAAGCCAGCUCCCAGACGAAAACAAUCAAUCUUGAGUUGAUAUACAACUCAAGUAGCUAGAGAAAUAUAAAACACUAGCUAAGGACACAAACUUACAAUGCUGAACCAAAAGUUAGCUGCUACCAAUGGAAAUAAACAGCACUGCAUCUACGGUACUACAUCAAGGCGUCCCAAAUUAUAAUGAACAUCAAACCUCUUUUGAGCUACGAACAUCAUACAUCCUGGACUUCAACUCUUCCGUGAUACACACUCGAUAACUGAGGUACUUCGUAUAUAUAUCUUGCCACAAACCUCUCCAAGAACAACUUCUCCACAAGCACCAACACAGAACACAAACUCACAGAUUGAAUCCAAUUUAUCAAUCCUUUCAACAACUGAACAGCGGGGUAUAAGGGCUAGUUUGGUAUUGCUGUGCUUUGAAAAAAAGUUGUUGUGAGAAUAAGCGGCUGUGCUGUGAGAAUAAGCGGCUGUGAAAUAAAUCAGGAGAGUGUUUGGUAAACUUUUUUGUAAAAGUGCUUUUGGAAAAAAAAACAGUCUGAUAGUGGGUCUUUUCAUUAAAGAAGCACUGUAACUCCGUGUGCUUUGAAAAAAAGCCAGUUUUCCAAAGCUACAAAUAGCAGCUUCAACUUUUUCCUUUGAUUUCAGCUUAUUCUCACAGCAGCUUCCAAAAUAAGCCUUUUUUUUUCAGUUUACCAAACGCCUAAAACCCUCACAACUUUUUUUCAUGGGUGCUUUUUUUUUAAUCACCUCACUCUCAAACCACCCCUAAAUCUCAUCUCGAAACUGUAACACAUGACCACUGGUGAUCUGGCAAUCAUUUCCGACGGCCAUCCCAUCCUUUGCACUAAAAAUUCCAGCGUUAUCCUUAGUUUCUUCUCGGACACAUUCAUACAGACCUAUAAUUUGAUAAGAAGUGCUGAAAAUACAGCACAAGGGCACAAUGAUACUUACCUAGGCCAUGGCCACUGAGAAAAGGCUAGCUUCCGGAGGCAAUUACUGACAGGCAAUUACUCUGCAUUACAUAUCUUAUCAAAGCCUGAUCUUUUUGUCCCCUGAAAAACGCAAAAAUCAGCGACAAGAACUGCAUUUUCCUUUUUUUAAUAACGCAAGCGUUGCAUAAAUUCUUACAAACGCAAGGGAAGCACAAUGAUACAGUGAUACUUUACCCAGCCAUUGCCACCAAAAACAAGGAUAACUGCUUGUGGAGGAAUAUCAUAGACACUAGCACAGCAUAACACAGAGAACUCACAGACAAUCAAUGAUAUCCAACACAACUUUUAAUGUGAAAAUUCAGACAAGUUACUUUGUAUUUUUCAUCUCCAGAAUAAGAUUAUAAUGUGUACAAUCUACCGAAGGCAGUUCCCAGACGAACAAACUCAAGAACCAUCUACAGUUGAAGGCACCACAACCACAGAGAGCAGCGCCUGUCAUCAUCAAGUUGUUUUCAGAUAAGUUAACAAGAUAUGCAUUUCCUGCAAUAAGGUUAGAACUUGCCGCUUGAAAGGUUUUCGCUGUUCUUGGCUGUUUCAAUCUUUCUUUUUCGGACGAACGAACAAACUACCUUUCAUAACCUUACUUCACCGGCUUUCUGCUUAGGAUUUCUCUUCCUUAGACUUCACAUUAAACCGAAAAACAAAGCGGUAGUUUUCGCACAGUUUGCUCAGCUUCGGAUCCAAUACUGCACUAGAUAUGAUCUUGCAUCCUGGCCCUCACUAGCUCUUCGCAUGGUUAUGCAAACAACAUGCCCAAGGGAGAUUAGUGUACAUAACUAAAGGAGGUACUAGCAAUGAGCAGUGCUGCAUUUUGGGUACAAAUAAUACAGCAGUUACAAUACUGAGCGAAAAGCUAGAUGCUACCAAUGAAAUCUAACUCUUCCACAUUCCACUUAUUUUCCUCCAAAGUACAAAGAACGUACACACCCACACACACACACGCAUAUUUCACGUAGUGGCAGGUUUUUUCAUUCCUUCAUUGCCACAAUAGAUUAGAUUGAACCCCAAUAAAGCAACAUAUGUGUAUAAUCUAUCAAAUGCAGUUCCCAUAAGAACAAAGUCAAGAACACCAAUCUGAAGUUGAAAGCACCACAAUCAGGUCAAAUCUCAAGUUAAUUUCAAAUACAAUAACAACUACAAAGCCUUUUCCCACUAAGUUAAUUCCAAAUAAGAAAGUAAAUAUAUAACUAAAGUAGCUAGACAGUGGAACGCUAAGACAAACAAAUAAUUAACAAAUGAAUUCAUUUCUAGAAAAAUAUAAAACAGUACUUGAGUUCACAAACUUACAAUGCUGAGCCAAAAGUUAGCUCCUACCAAUGGAAAUGAACAGCACUGCAUCUACGAUACUACCACCAUCAGACAUCCUGGACUUCAACUCUUUUGACCUACCACCAUCAUACAUCCUGGACUUCAACUCUUCCUUGAUACACACUCAAUAACUGAGGUACUUCAUUUAUAUUUCUGGCCACAAACCUCUCCAAGAAAUACUUCUCCGCAGGCACCAACAAAGAAUACAAACUCACAUUUUCAAUCCCCUUUAUCAAUCCUUUCAACAAUAAAACUUUAACAACUGAACACCUUGGAACCAAUCUCUUCUCCAAACUUAAACAGAGGACCAGCGGGCUUUUUGCAAUCAUUUUUGAAGACCACCCCAUCUCGUUCACUAAAAAUUCCAGUGCUCGUAUUAAUUUCUUCUCCGAGACAAUCAUACAAUGAGGCUGACUCCUGAAAGCAGCGAGAACAUCAUCCUCAGACCACCCCCACCUCUUAUAAAUUUUGCAACUUCGAUUCCAUACAGACCUAUUGCUACCACACAAUACGUUCAUUGCUAACACUGAAGUUGAUUUUUGCAGAUCAAAACCCAUUCCAUUAAGCUCAUCCACAAGUUGACCAAGAUCUUUAGGCUUUAGCUUUAAAGCGUUGGGAUGAUAAGUAAGCAACAGAGAAAUGCACGAUUGGGGUAUACCUGAUUUUUUCAAAACCUCAAUAUUUGGCUCCACCUUCUUGGAGUGGCCUUCAGCGAAAAUCCAGGGGCCGCGCUUUAAAACGGAAACGACAUUUUUCUGAGAAAGCAGACUCCUAAGGAAAUCAUAAGUGGGUGCAAUCCGUUUCUCCAAGCUCGUAGACAAAAGCUUCGGUCUAUAUGCCAGAGUUUUUGCAAGGUCCCCCUUUGAAACUCCAAGAGAAGCGAAAAACUCAAGCUUUGGCAAAAGGGUUUUCUCCGGAUUGGAGUUAAGAACUGGAGAGUGAUUCCUGACGAUACUGGAGAUCUGGGUCUCAGAGAAUCCAUGGUUUCUGAGAAAGGACAAAACGGAGUCUGCUCUUUUGGGGGAUCGCAACUUGACCCACUUAGACGCUGAAAUCGCACCUUCUGGGGACAGCCCACAUGAGUUUAUGAGGUAAUUGACUGUGAAAUCGUGGUGGGUUUCUGAGAUUUCUGAGGUGAAGUGUCUGCAGAGUAGCAGAUUUUGAAGAGGAAAAUGUGAGGGUUUUACAUCUCCAACGACAAAUCGUUUAAAUGUGGAAGCAACUAUGCAGGAAGAUGGAGAAUAACACAAUCUGAGGGUAACGACUUUCAAUUUGGAAAGCAAUACCAUCGUUUCAGUCAAUAUUAGAUGAUCAAUUUCAAAUUUUGAACUGGAAAUGGUCCCAAAAAACCCUAGCAGGUCUUCCGCUCACUGGGUUUUUGGUUUUAGCAUAUUUCAAUUUCAUUUCCUUUCCCUUGGAGUUUAUUCAGAGAUUAGUUUUUGGUUGUGGAAUUUAUUUAAUUAUUAUUUCUAACUAUUUGUUAUUAUAUAUAUAUAUAUAUAUAUAUAUAUAUUUAUCAUUUGUAAAUGGCGCACAAUAAUUGAAAAAAGUUGUGCUUAUGUCUCUUCAUGCGGGUACGAUCUACAUCUAUUUGUUUUUUCUCUAACAAUUAACUAUUUAGCCCACUAACAUUAUCGUUCUACUGAUAAGAAAGUUGGUCAUAUAUUGCAUAUGAUUCAAACCCAAUUUCUCUUGUUGGAGUUAAUUGGAAUCAAAUGAUACAUCAAGAUUCAUGAUGAAAAUUAAGCUUACAAUCCAAAUAGAAUUACGAACCAAAACAAAUAGAAGUUAACAAUCAAAAUAGAAGUUAAAGUUUCAAACCAAAUGAAAAUUAGAACUAAACUUCAAAAAGUAAAAUUCAUUGAUCAAUUCUUCAAGUUUGAGAUGUCGAAGCUUUUGGAGGAGGCAUUGAAUAAUUGAAUUUGUAGAAGAUUGAGCUUGUGUCAAGCCAACAUUACAAACAAAGAAAACAUAUUAGUAGCAAGAAGAAUUAAAGUUGAAAACCAUUUAAAAAUUAAAGCAUAUCUUACUUGUUUCAACUUCUUCCAUUUUCUUGUAAAAUUGAAGCAUAUUUUCCGUUGAUUCCUUAUAGAAGUUUACUUCAUCCGCCCUAAGCCAAUCAGUAGUACACACUAGUGCUUUUACCAUUUUAGGAGUCAAUGAUGCCUUAAAAGAGUCCACAACCCUCCUCCCUAUGCUAAAUGCAUUUUCAUUAGCAACGGUAGAAGUGGGGGUUGCAAAGAUAUCAUUGGCUAUUUGUGAAAGAAUUGAGAACUCUUUUAUAUUUGAUUUCCACCAACUCAAGAGGUCAAAGUCACCAACAACAAUGCUAAUAUAAGUGGGGUUUUAUUUUCAAAUUAUUGAAAUAUUAUAAAUA